AGAACCAUCAAAUCUGCACUCGAUAUGGUUGGAAAUUCUGUUGUCAUCAUUCCACAUAGUUGUUAUGAUAAUAUUCACGGAACCUUGCCAUGACAUCCAUAAACAGAUGAUGAAGACCAAAAUGCUGGUGGAUCAGUUCAGGAAUAGACCGAACCUGCCGCGUGGCGCCCAUAACGAGCUCGCGCUGUUCUCGCAUAUCCUGGACCUCAACAAAGUUACCUUCUCCCCACUUGAGGUGUGCACGUUAGCCAGACCUCUCAUCGCUAAGAUCCUUGGCUGCAUUGUCACGUAUCUGGUGGCCAUUAUACAGUUGAGAGUGAAGAGUUAGAUGAAGACUAAGACAUGCUGAGUUGACAUCCGCACAAGUGUUCUUUCUUCUAUAACCAUGCACCUUUGUCAGUUUGUGAUUCACUUUGAUUGAUAAUACUUAUAAUGCUAAUAAAAGCUACUUUGCUAUUGGAAG